rnacentral:rRNA from 1 species
AUUGAACGCUGGCGGCAGGCCUAACACAUGCAAGUCGAGCGGUAGCACAAGGGAGCUUGCUCCCCGGGUGACGAGCGGCGGACGGGUGAGUAAUGUCUGGGAAACUGCCUGAUGGAGGGGGAUAACUACUGGAAACGGUAGCUAAUACCGCAUAACGUCGCAAGACCAAAGUGGGGGACCUUCGGGCCUCACGCCAUCGGAUGUGCCCAGAUGGGAUUAGCUAGUAGGUGGGGUAACGGCUCACCUAGGUGACGAUCCCUAGCUGGUCUGAGAGGAUGACCAGCCACACUGGAACUGAGACACGGUCCAGACUCCUACGGGAGGCAGCAGUGGGGAAUAUUGCACAAUGGGCGCAAGCCUGAUGCAGCCAUGCCGCGUGUGUGAAGAAGGCCUUCGGGCUGUAAAGCACUUUCAGCGAGGAGGAAGGCGUUAAGGUUAAUAACCUUGACGAUUGACGUUACUCGCAGAAGAAGCACCGGCUAACUCCGUGCCAGCAGCCGCAGUAA